CCGGUGCGCCCCCGGCGGCCCAUGAAAAUCCGGAGGACCGAGUACCGUUCACGCCCGGUCGUACUCAUAACCGCAUCAGGUCGUCAAGGUGAACAGCCUCUGGCCAAUGGAACAAUGUAGGCAAGGGAAGUCGGCAAAACGGAUCCGUAACUUCGGGAAAAGGAUUGGCUCUGAGGACUGGGCUCGGGGGUCCCGGCCCCGAACCCG
rnacentral:ncRNA from 1 species